UGGGGAUGGGCUAUGUGGUGGCCAGCUGCCACCAUCAUUGGCAGGUUCUUGGCAACGGCAGGGGAACUGACGAUCGUUGCAUGGGUGACCAU
rnacentral:tRNA from 3 species